rnacentral:rRNA from 1 species
AACCUUACCUGGUCUUGACAUCCACGGAAUUUGGCAGAGAUGCCUUAGUGCCUUCGGGAACCGUGAGACAGGUGCUGCAUGGCUGUCGUCAGCUCGUGUUGUGAAAUGUUGGGUUAAGUCCCGCAACGAGCGCAACCCUUAUCCUUUGUUGCCAGCGGUCCGGCCGGGAACUCAAAGGAGACUGCCAGUGAUAAACUGGAGGAAGGUGGGGAUGACGUCAAGUCAUCAUGGCCCUUACGACCAGGGCUACACACGUGCUACAAUGGCGCAUACAAAGAGAAGCGACCUCGCGAGAGCAAGCGGACCUCAUAAAGCUCCUCUAUCCGGAUUGGAGUCUGCAACUCGACUCGCAUGAAGUCGGAAUCGCUAGUAAUCGUGGAUCAGAAUG